rnacentral:rRNA from 1 species
UACGUAGGGUGCAAGCGUUGUCCGGAAUUAUUGGGCGUAAAGAGCUCGUAGGCGGUCUGUCGCGUCUGCUGUGAAAACUCAGGGCUUAACCCUGAGCUUGCAGUGGGUACGGGCAGACUAGAGUGCGGUAGGGGAGACUGGAAUUCCUGGUGUAGCGGUGAAAUGCGCAGAUAUCAGGAGGAACACCGGUGGCGAAGGCGGGUCUCUGGGCAAUUCCUGACGCUGAGGCGCGAAAGCGUGGGGAGCAAACGGG